rnacentral:miRNA from 1 species
GGGAGAGGAGGCGGCCA